rnacentral:rRNA from 1 species
GCCCUCGGGUUGUAAAGCACUUUCAGUGAGGAAGAAAGCCUUGCGGUUAAUACCCGCUAGGAAAGACAUCACCCACAGAAGAAGCACCGGCUAACUCCGUGCCAGCAGCCGCGGUAAUACGGAGGGUGCGAGCGUUAAUCGGAAUUACUGGGCGUAAAGCGCGCGUAGGUGGCUUGAUAAGCCGGUUGUGAAAGCCCCGGGCUCAACCUGGGAACGGCAUCCGGAACUGUCAAGCUAGAGUGCAGGAGAGGAAGGUAGAAUUCCCGGUGUAGCGGUGAAAUGCGUAGAGAUCGGGAGGAAUACCAGUGGCGAAGGCGGCCUUCUGGACUGACACUGACACUGAGGUGCGAAAGCGUGGGUAGCAAACAGGAUUAGAUACCCUGGUAGUCCACGCCGUAAACGAUGUCGACCAGCCGUUGGGUGCCUUGCGAACUUUGUGGCGNAGUUAACGCGAUAAGUCGACCGCCUGGGGAGUACGGCCGCAAGGUUAAAACUCAAAUGAAUUGACGGGGGCCCGCACAAGCGGUGGAGCAUGUGGUUUAAUUCGAAGCAACGCGCA